GGUUCUGUGGCGUAGUGGAGGCGCGUCUGCUUUACAGAAGUUCGCAGAAGGUCGCAGGUUCGAACCCUGCCAGAAUCA